UUCCGGUUGAUCCUGCCGGACCCGACUGCUAUUUGGGUGAGGAUAAGCCAUGCGAGUCGAAUGGGAUACCUAAAUUUCCCAUGGCAGACUGCUCAAUAACACAUGAUCAACUUACCCUAUAGAGAAAAAUAACCUCGGGAAACUGAGGAUAAUGUUUCAUAGUUGAAAAGGCUUGGAAAAGUUUUUCGACCAAAAGGAUAAGAAAAAUGGUUUUUAUCCGCUAUAGGAUAGGAUCGUGGUCGAUUAUGGUCGUUGGUGAGGUAAUGGCUCACCAAGCCGAUAAUCGAUAGGGGCCGUGAGAGCGGGAGCCCCGAGAUGGGUACUGAGACAACGACCCAGGUCUUACGAGACGCAGCAGGCGCGGAACCUCAGCAAUACACGAAAGUGUGACUGGGUUACCCAAAGUGUUCAAUUUUGAACUGUGGUAGGUGAGUAAUGUCCCCUACUAGAAAGGAGAGGGCAAGGCUGGUGCCAGCCGCCGCGGUAAAACCAGCUCUUCAAGUGGUCGGGAUAAUUAUUGGGCUUAAAGUGUCCGUAGCCGGUUUAGUAAGUUCCUGGUAAAAUCGGGUAGCUUAACUAUCUGCAUGCUAGGAAUACUGCUAUACUAGAGGGCGGGAGAGGUCUGAGGUACUACAGGGGUAGGGGUGAAAUCUUAUAAUCCUUGUAGGACCACCAGUGGCGAAGGCGUCAGACUGGAACGCGCCUGACAGUGAGGGACGAAAGCCAGGGGAGCGAACCGGAUUAGAUACCCGGGUAGUCCUGGCCGUAAACGAUGCACACUAGAUGAUGGUGCGGCCAUGAGCCGUAUCAGUGUCGUAGGGAAACCGUUAAGUGUGCCGCCUGGGAAGUACGGUCGCAAGGCUUAAACUUAAAGGAAUUGGCGGGGGAGCACCACAAGGGGUGAAGCCUGCGGUUCAAUUGGAUUCAACGCCGGG
rnacentral:rRNA from 1 species